rnacentral:rRNA from 1 species
AUUGAACGCUGGCGGCAGGCCUAACACAUGCAAGUCGAGCGGCGCGGCGGACGGGUGAGUAAUGUAUGGGGAUCUGCCCGAUAGAGGGGGAUAAAUACUCGAAAGAGUGUCUAAUACCGCAUACUCUUGCAGCUGCCGCUAUCGGAUGAGCUAGUUGGGGUGGUAAAGGCUCACCAAGGCAACGAUCCGUAGCUGGGUUGUGAGGACGACCAGCCACACUGGGACUAAGACACGGCCCAGACUCCGACGGGAGGAAGCAGUGGGUAAUUUUGGACAAUGGGGGAAACCCUGAUCCAGCCAUCCCGCGUGUAUGAUGAAGGCCUUCGGGUUGUAAAGUACUUUUGGCAGAGAAGCGGUAUCUGCAGAAUAAGCACCGGCUAACUACGUGCCAGCCGCCGCGGUAAUUC